AGUCCAAGGUGAUGUAUUUAACGGUUUGUUUUAUCAGUCCAAAACCCAAAGAUAUAACAUUUUUCUGCCAUUUUUGCAUGAAAAAUCACUUUAACGAUUAAUCGAUUAUCAAUAGUUGGCGAUUAUUUGUCUGUUGAUCAACUAGUCGACUUAAUGUUGCAGCUCUACCUGAAACUAAGAAUCGUUGUUUUCGUUAGCUUGGAAUGAGCCCUUCAUAUCUACAUAGAGAGCGGGUCCUCUUCACGGAGUCCGCCAUGUUUCUACAGUAGCCCGGACAAACCAAACACUGACUCUAGAGAGAGCCUUUUGCGUUAUCUGAAGGCCACCGUAGUUCUGCGACACGCUUAGAAAAGAAAUCAGCGCAGGGGGUAUUCAGUUGGUUGCAAUCUGCAAUCUCGCCACUAGAUGCCACUAAAUCCCACACACUACUCCUUUAAAGGGACACUCCACCAAGUUAGACAUGAUUUGAUUUGAAAAUGUUAAAAGUAGCAUCAUUUUUUCUGUAUUUCACAAUAAUGCAUCAUUUCACUUAUGUUACUUUUCAGUUGACAGCAUACUGUGACCUCUGUACCACUGCAUUAGACUUUUUGUUUUGUCUGGAGGGCAAAGGGAGAGCUUGUAACCACUCUUCAAACAUUUUGUGACUGUUCGCUUGCCUGAGCAGAAACAUUGAAAUGGAACAACUUUUAUCGUUUUUAAAAAUAGCUGUCAGGUGAGUUCUUCAGGUAGGGAAGUGGCUCAGUGGGACAUAUGAUAGAUAAAAUAAAAGAUAAAGAUUAACCUCUUACAAGUCAUAAACAUGCAGUGUUUGAACAAGCCAUUUUGCCUGUUUCUCAGUUAGACGCUGAGCAGUGCCUGCCUUUAGCCUGUAUAUAGACUCUGAUCAUUGUUGUACAGCAAAGAUAAUUGUUUGAAAUUGUUCAUCCAGCUUUGUCACCAACCACAGUGGAGGACAGAGGACAGAAACAUGUCAGCCGCAGACUAAAUUGCCUUGAAUUUAUGCUGGCAGCUCCCUGCUGGAGUCCCCAUUAGGCCUGACAGUCUGCGUGGUAAAAACAUUGUGGCUACAUUCACACUGCAGCUCAAAUUGCACAGUUUAGAUAUUCCCCCACAUCACAUGUGACAUAUCAGAUUUUUGUCUGAGCACUGUGAACAUCAGACAAAUCCCACAGCUGGUGGUGCAUUUGGUUUCCUGCUCCCAUGGAUCAUAUGUAAGAAAUCAUAUCCAGCAGCAUGCUCGAGACAUUUAUCUGAACUCUAAAAUGAAUCUGAGACAUUUGUGAUAUGUUUGACUACAUUUCUGAGCAGUGUAAAGCAGCGUGACCCCCAACAGAUCACAAUUUCCCCCCGUUUCAAACUUUUGGUCAUUUAAGUUUUGAAAUUUCAAAGAUCCAGAUAGAAAAUUCAAGUGUCCAGGGUUUCCAAUCUGAACUUGACUCAUGUGACUGACAUAAUGUAACCUGAUGGGACGGAGGUUUGAUCGGUUCCAGUCAGGCUUGACUGCUUAUCUUUGGUAGCCUGAAUGCUCCAGUUUCAACUUUUCAUCUUGAAUUUUGUUGCUUGUCUGAAACCAACUUGAAAAACUUGAAUUUUGAGCUGAAUUUUAAGAUCUGCAAAAUGACUGAAUUUGAAAAACUUGUUUGUUUUAUAAAUAUUGGACACUUGAAUUUUAUGUCUAUCGACCUUUAGAGUGGUGCAGUGAUGACGUAUUUUUGUAGGCCAACCAGGAAGUUAGCAUCGCCCGGAGAGAGAGCAGCGAUGGUGGAGCGAGCUGUAGAGUGACUGAAGAGAGAGAACGGCGUUAGUGAGAGCAAAGCAGCAAAUCGGAGAAAUAAAACGUAAUUUUCUGAUUUGUUUCCUGGUGGUUACGUUCUAAAGCACAAAUAAACACACAACUAUCUCCGCAUAACUCUGCGGGAAGGUGCCGAGUUACCGGAUUUUGAAUGAAUGCAGGCUUCCUGUCUGCUGGCUGUGGUUCAAUGCUGCUCUCGUAAAAAGACACACACCGAGCAUAGCUGCACUCACAGCACAGAGAGGAUCCGGGGGACCACGGGAAUACAUUACACAACCUGUUCUCAUCCGUGAAACGUUUUGUAUCUCCGAGCUAAAGGGGGACUUUUGGGUUGGUAUCAGAAGCUGAGGGGCGUGUCAAAGCGGCGGUAUUUGACUACCUGGAGGGGCUGCACACCCUGCAUGCUGUUAUUGGCUGGGGGUUACACCCCCACGUGGGACCCAAAGACUGGUUGCAGACGCCCAGCAGCGUCCCAAGUAAAGCAAAAUAAGAAGAAAAGAGGAAAUCCAAACAGAGGGCAGCAGGGUCUCUGCAGGAACAGACACCAACACACAAUUCUAUUGGGGCAUAAGUGAUGAUUGAGAGGGAUUAUUUUUGUAUCAGUCUAUACAUUGUUUUUUUUUGUAAAUUCUUGCAUAUUAUACCUUAAAGGAACUCUCAG